GUUCAUGUAGCUUAAUAACAUAAAGCAAGGCACUGAAAAAGCCCAGAUGAGUACUUUAACUCCAUAAACA
rnacentral:tRNA from 1 species